UACAGAGGUCUCAAGCGUUGUUCGGAUUCAUUGGGCGUAAAGGGUGCGUAGGUGGCGCUGUAAGUCGGGUGUGAAAUUUCGGAGCUUAACUCCGAAACUGCAUUCGAUACUGCGGUGCUUGAGGACUGGAGAGGAGACUGGAAUUCAUGGUGUAGCAGUGAAAUGCGUAGAGAUCAUGAGGAAGACCAGUGGCGAAGGCGGGUCUCUGGGCCACUACUGACGCUGAGAAGCGAAAGCAUGGGGAGCAAACAGG
rnacentral:rRNA from 1 species